UACGGAGGGUGCAAACGUUGCUCGGAAUUAUUGGGCGUAAAGCGCACGUAGGUGGCUCGUUAAGUCGGAUGUGAAAGCCCCAGGCUCAACCUGGGAAGUGCAUACGAAACUGGCGAGCUUGAAUAUCGAAGAGGGUCGCGGAAUUCCCGGUGUAGAGGUGAAAUUCGUAGAUAUCGGGAGGAACACCAGUGGCGAAGGCGGCUUCCUGGACCUGAUCUGACGCUGAGGAGCGAAAGCGUGGGGAGCGAUCCGG
rnacentral:rRNA from 1 species